rnacentral:tRNA from 1 species
GUUUAUAUAGUUUAAAUAAAACCCUACAUUUUCAUUGUAGAAAUAAAAUACUAUAUUUUUAUAAAUU